rnacentral:tRNA from 2 species
GGAGAAGUACUCAAGUGGUUGAAGAGGUGCCCCUGCUAAGGGUAUAGGUCGGGCAACUGGCGCGAGAGUUCAAAUCUCUCCUUCUCCGCCA